GAUGAACGCUGGCGGUGUGCCUAAUACAUGCAAGUCGAGCGAACAGACGAGGAGCUUACUCCUCUGACGUUAGCGGCGGACGGGUGAGUAACACGUGGAUAACCUACCUAUAAGACUGGGAUAACUUCGGGAAACCGGAGCUAAUACCGGAUAACAUGUUGAACCGCAUGGUUCAACAGUGAAAGACGGUCUUGCUGUCACUUAUAGAUGGAUCCGCGUCGCAUUAGCUAGUUGGUAAGGUAACGGCUUACCAAGGCAACGAUGCGUAGCCGACCUGAGAGGGUGAUCGGCCACACUGGAACUGAGACACGGUCCAGACUCCGAAGGGAGGCAGCAGUAGGGAAUCUGCCGCAAUGGGCGAAAGCCUGACGGAGCAACGCCGCGUGAGUGAAGAAGGUCGUCGGAUCGUAAAACUCUGUUAUGAGGGAAGAACAAAUGUGUAAGUAACUAUGCACGUCUUGACGGUACCUAAUCAGAAAGCCACGGCUAACGACG
rnacentral:rRNA from 1 species